rnacentral:lncRNA from 1 species
UUUUUGUUUUUUUGUAUUUUCUAAUUUGAUAUUUAAAUAGCCCUUUCUUUUAAAAUUCACCAUAAAUUCAUUUUUGAUCCAAAAUUAUGGGACCAACACCAAAAAUUCACAUAUAUUUUCUUCUUCCCAUUUAUGAUUUAAAAUUAAUUUUUGGAUUAAGUUUGAUAUUUUUGGUGAAUUUUGUGAUUUUUAACAUUUCUUAAUUAGUUUUUAAUUACUUCUGACUUUUGAAAAAUAC